UGGGGUACAGCUCUGUGGUAGAGCGUGAGCUUAGCAUGUGUGAGGUCCUGGGUUCAACCCCCAGUACUUCCA
rnacentral:tRNA from 1 species